rnacentral:rRNA from 1 species
CCUACGGGAGGCAGCAGUGAGGAAUAUUGGUCAAUGGACGAGAGUCUGAACCAGCCAAGUCGCGUGAAGGAUGACUGCUCUAUGGGUUGUAAACUUCUUUUAUAUGGGAAUAAAAUGUUCCACGUGUGGGCUUUUGUAUGUACCAUAUGAAUAAGGAUCGGCUAACUCCGUGCCAGCAGCCGCGGUAAUACGGAGGAUCCGAGCGUUAUCCGGAUUUAUUGGGUUUAAAGGGAGCGUAGGUGGAUUGUUAAGUCAGUUGUGAAAGUUUGCGGCUCAACCGGAAAAGUGCAGUUGAAACUGGCAGUCUUGAGUACAGUAGAGGUUGGCGGAAUUCGUGGUGUAGCGGUGAAAUGCUUAGAUAUCACGAAGAACUCCGAUUGCUAAGGCAGCUCACUGGACUGCAACUGACACUGAGGCUCGAAAGUGUGGGUAUCAAACAGGAUUAGAUACCCGUGUAGUC